AUUGAACGCUGGCGGCAGGCCUAACACAUGCAAGUCGAGCGAGCGGCGGACGGGUGAGUAAUGUCUGGGAAACUGCCUGAUGGCGGGGGAUAACUACUGGAAACGGUAGCUAAUACCGCAUACCAUCAGAUGUGCCCAGAUGGGAUUAGCUGGUAGGUGGGGUAACGGCCCACCUGGGCGACGAUCCCUAGCUGGUCUGAGAGGAUGACCAGCCACACUGGAACUGAGACACGGUCCAGACUCCUACGGUAGGCAGCGGUGGGGAAUAUUGGACAAUGGGCGCAAGCCUGAUGCAGCCAUGCCGCGUGUGUGAAGAAGGCCUUCGGGUUGUAAAGCACUUUCAGCGUGGAGGCGUUACCCGCAGAAGAAGCACCGGCUAACUCCGUGCCAGCAGCCGCGGUAAUAC
rnacentral:rRNA from 1 species